GGAGCGGAGUUCGUAGGCUAUCCCAACUUUCCCAAUCAAAGGACUCCACAUCCCAGACGUCAUCGAGAACAAGCAGAAAUUUCUUGUUAACAAGGCUCUGUUUGAGUUGACGCUGAAGCAAAUCCAGGUUGUCAUCGGAAGUAGGUCUAUCGCCGAUUUCCUCAAGAAUUGAUUUGGUGACCUUGAUAAGAAGAAACUCAGUGGAAACACAGACCCAUGCUUUCAAGUGGAAGUGUUCCUUCACUUUGUCAUUGUUGUAGAGAAGCUGAACGAGUGUGGUCUUGCCGGUGCCGCCCAUGCCAACUAUGCAGAUCACAUCUAUGUCUUCCUUGCCUCUUGCGUUAUCAGAAAGCAAGCAGUUCACCAUGUCCUCCUUAAUUUCAUCCCUGCCGUACACAAAGGACUCAUCCACCAAAGAAGUGGAUGGUAAUCUUGGUGGCAGUUUCUCGCCCCCACCUUCUUUCAGGCCAAGCCCAACUUUUUCUUGAGCAAUAGCCUCAAGUUUAGCGAUCAUCUCCUUCACUCUGGACUCCAUGCUUUGAGUAGCAAAUGGCGCCUUAACACAAUCAGAGAACUUGUUCCACACCUGAUGAAUUCCACCGGUUUGGGAGUCCGUAGCUUCGAUCUUGCAGCGCAAAGCAUCGGUAGCGAUCCCGUCCAACAGGUCCUCCGCACCAUACACAAUAUCCUUAGCCUGUACCAGCCACUCUUUGACUGGGUCGUUUGAAAAUUGCUUCACCUCUGCAUCAUUGAGCACAUUGAGAACAACCAAGAAUUUCCUCCUCAAGUCGUUAAGGAGUUCUUUGCUGAGAUUCCGUCGCCGAAUGAAGUUUAUGAGCUCUGGAGAAGCCAACCUCUCGAAUAGGACUUGAAGCGAAGCCGAGAGCAGUGCGUCCGCCAUAUCUGUCGACUGUUGCUUUGCAAUUGGAAUUCAGAUGAUUGGUUUGUAUUAGCGCGAUACCACCAAACUUCACGAGACUGGUUUUGGAUUACCAAAUGCAGAAGGCUUGAAGGAAUGCUUGAGUGGUGAGAAAAAGAAAGAAAACAAAAAAAAGUUGAUGCCAAACUUCGUUGUGUAGGAACAAAGCAGAUUCGUUACGCAGGCUUCAAUUUUUCUCUUCUUUCCUCUUUUUAUUAUUAUUAUUUUUAAUUAUUUUCUUUUUCUUCUCCUUCUAUUAUUAUUAGUGCGUAUAUAUACCCAAAUAAUUGUUUUAACAUUAUCAUUCCUAAUAUUAUGAAUAUUAAUAUCCAUAUUAUUAUUUUAAUAAUUAUAGUAGUAUUAUAAUUUUAUAAUUAUAAUGGUUAGUUUUUUUCUCAUAAUUAUUAUUAUUAGAAUAUAUUACUAUUACUAAAUUUUUUAAUAUUAUGGUUAUUAUUAUUAAAUAAUGAUAUUAUUAUUUGAUUCAUUAAUUUAUUGCACAUAAUUAUAUAUAUAUAAUUAACUAAUAUUAUGAUUUAUCAUUUAAUAAUUGUAUAGGUUAAUUAUGAUUUUUUUUUCUUUUUAAUUCUGAGGCUUGAAGGAAUCAUUGGUUGUGAUGUACCCCAUAAGGAAAGAAAAAGCAAAAGCAAAAGCCAAAAAGCAUAUAUAUCCUUUUUUUUUUCUUUUUAAUUUUAUUUAUUAAAAUUUUAUUCCUUAGAAUCAAAUGUAAAAUAAUUAAUUUUAUGUUCAAUAAUCAUGAAUAAAAAGCAUCAAAUUAUGAAAAUUAUUGUUUUCUAUAUUUUUAUAGUGAAGUUAUGUUUUACAUAUACAAAUUUUUAUGGAUACAUGAUUUCCUUAAUUGGAAUGCGAAAGAAAAUCUCGUUGAUAAUUGUUUUUCAUCUUAGAAAAAAUACACCCUUAUUUCGGUGAAAUGAUUAAAAAAAUGAUUUAAAGCACAAGAAUAAUUAAUAGAUUUAAAAUUUGAAAAUCAAUAAUAGAAAAACGGUGAAUGAUUCAAAUGAGCAUUUACUUUUCUUGGUAAUAUGAAGUGUUGAACUUUGGAUUUGUUAGCAUGUAUGGAUAUUUAAUAAAUUAGAAAAAGAAAAAAAAUCUUAGGGGAAAGACACAAUAACUAAUUAUAGAAUUUUUUUUUUACAAAAUAUAAUAACUUGUAUAUUAUUUAAUAUUUAACUAAAAAUUUAAAUUUAGUAAAAUCUACUUUUAAGAUUAGGAAAAAUCAUUACUUUAGUGAGAUUAUUGAUUCAUCUAUAAAUGAAUAAUUUAUUAAUUAAAUAAUAAAUUUAUUAUAUUUUUAUUGUGAUACUUGUACAUAAAAAUAAAAUAAAAAAUAAAAAGAAAGAAUAUAUCAUAGGUAGUGUAUACAUUACAAACAAAUUAAAGACGAGGUUAAAUAUUAAAAACAGAGUAAAUGACAAAACCACCUGUAGACCCCAUUUUGGGGCUCAUUUUUCUUGCAUUUUGUGCAACACAUUCUUACAAAGUGGAGGGCCCUCAAGAAUGUUCGUGGUUUGAAGAGGCAAUGGAAGGUUGACAUGUAUCAUAGAAUAUUCUGAGGAAAAGCUAUAGACUGAUAGAGGGGGGUUGGAGAGCAUUUUUUUUGGGGGACGUGUUAUGUAUUAGCUGGUGAGAGGAUGGCUUGAGGAGCAAGCUUGCUGGGGAGGUUACAGAGAGAAGAGGCAACCAGAGAAAGAAGGUAGCUGAGAGCGUAAGAAGAUAUGGUGGGUUGGAGAGCAUUUUUUUUAGGAGAGAUAGCUUAAGGAGGAAGGACUGAGGGGAAUUCUUGUGGCUGGUUGCUUGAGAGGAAAGGUAACUGAGAGAAAACAGAGGAGGAAGGGAAGUGGGAGACCAUGGUGAGCAGAGUUUGAAAACCAUGGGAAAGCAGCUUGAAGAGGACUGGCUCGAGAGAAGAGGGAGGGUAUUUUCUGGAGCAGAAAGAAUGAAGUAGAGUAACUUGAUACCCAACUAGCCUCGCAGGAAGAGAGCAUUUUCAGGUACUUUUGCUAGACCACGUAGUGAUUGCUAUUGAUUUUCUUUGGGUUGCUGUGAUUAUGUCUAAUAAAUCUGUUCCUGGUUUUUUAUGUGAAAUUUGUUUAAGAAUGAUACAGUUCCUUUUUAGCUUUCCUUUGGGUGUCUGAGUCAUAUCUUUGGAUCUUAUUUCCACCUGGUUUUUCCCACCCAUACACAAGCCCAUUGACUUCAAUAUGAGAUGGGGCUCGGGUAAGUGUUUUCUUGAGUUCAUUUGAUGCUCUGUUUUCCUGCUUGCCCCCUUGUUGUUUACUCUCUACUCUCUGUGGCCAUUUGUACUCCCAAGGAAAAGAUUUUUUCUAGCAUUGCCAUUGGUUUUCCUAUGGGCAUAGUUUCUGAGCUUGGGUAGCCGUUGUUUCAUUUGUUCAUAAGGUUGCUGGGUUAUUUUGCUAAAAAAUUUGAGACGGCCAUAUUAGGGUAUUAGUUUUAUCUCUUGACUGUAGGUGGUUCUGGAUACUUAAUUGGGUCUUACAAGGGGCAAGGUUGUCAGCCAAUCAUCAGAUAUGAGACGCUAGCACUUUGAGAGCAUGGGAUGGAUGUUCAGCUAAGAUUGUUAGCAGAAAAGAAGGGUGUUGUAGAAAAAUUGAAUUCACUUGAGGAGAAAGGGAAAUAUUCAAAAGCAGAAUCAAUUUAUGUACAGGUGCUUAUGAGGAUGGGCAACGUGUCAGCAUCGAUGUUAUGUCAUCCAUUUUCGAGGAGCAGUCUGCUGUCGAUAAGCAAAUGAGUGUCUAGACAAAAUACCAACAGGGUUUGAUUCAGUGGUUUGAACUGCCUCGCUGGGAGGUUGUGAGAACAUGAUGAAAACCCAGAUUCUCUUGCUUACUUCUAGGGAGCUACUCCACAAGUUCCUCUCCUAUGCCUGCAGACAUGCAACUUUGGCCACUCAUGGCCACAUUUUCUCUCUGUAUUGAACAUACGACUCUCUUCAUAGUUCAUGUUUUGUGCUCAACCCAGGACCAUUCUCCAAACACUACAUUUUGAUCGAUUUCUGGGUUUAAGGGUUGAUUGCAUGUCUCAAUGAUGAAAGAUGAUCCUCUUGACAAAUCAUGGUUUUGGCUUAAAUUUUCUCCAGAGAAUUUUCUCAUUUUCCAUUAAGAAAAUUAGAACAGAAUGAUCUGGACCGCUUGUGGUUCAGCUAUGGACUCGACUCAUGCGUCUCAUUCGUUUGAUGUGACGAUCAUUGGAGCCGGAAUAAUUGGGUUGAGCACUGCCCAGCAGUUCCUACUGCACUUUAACCUCUCUGUCAUCGUGGUUGAUAAGGAUGUCCCCUGCUCCGACUCUACCGGUGCCAUGGAUCAUAAUCGCGGUAUCAGUCACUGACUCGGAUGGUCCCGAGACGUAUCGGUCUGGUAUCGGGCGAUACGUAAAAUAAGCUAAUUAGAAAAUUCAAAAAAAAUAUAAAAAUAUUAUGUAAAUCAUCAUAAAAAUAUAUACAAUUAAAUAAGCUCAAAAAAUUAAUAAAAUAAAAUAGUCUCACAUUUAACAUUAUUUAAAUAGUUAUAAAAGUAUCUGCUCAAAGUUAUUUAUGAUAAUGCUAAUAAAAGAAAAUUAUUUUAUUUCAAAUAUAAUAACAUUUUUACUAACAAACAUACAAUACAAUAAUCAAUUCCAUGUUGAAUGACGAGGGGGUUCAAAAUCAUCAUCAUCAGUCCUAUGACGAGCAUACAAAUUGGGGUGGCAAUUCCUGUAGUGAGGAUAUGGUUGAAAGAGUUGUUCAUAACUUGAAUAUGUUGGGUGAGAUGAUUGGCUUGAUGAUCCAUAAUUAGGAAAAUAUGGUUUCGAAGGCUGUUCGGGAUCAACACCAGAUUGAUAGUAUCCAAAACCUCGAUAAGAAAUGCUACUACUACUAGAAGAUUGAUCAUAUCCAUAUGAGUCACUAGCUCGUGUUUCAGUAUUUGAAUAUCCCUCUGGAUGCAUAAUUGGAAAUCGAUUAAAAUCAUUUCUACUAAAAGCACUGGAAGAGCUAUCACGGUCUCUAAAGUUGUUAUAUGAUCUAUCAUCUACCCCUCUGAAAUACGACCUUAAUCCUAUACCCAAAUUUUGUAAGUGCUCGUCAAUAUGGUGAUAAUUUGAUCUAUGAUAAUCAUGCCCACUAGAAUAAUCAUCAUUGUUGGGAAAUGUAGUUAGUUUUUCCAAAUGCUUUCGUUGUUCCCAUAUCCCUAGUCGAUAUCCAUGAUCUGUAUCUUGUGUGGCAUAGUAAUUUUCACCUCCUUAUGCCCAUGACAUGUCGGGAUCUACUCGACUAAAAUAACCGCCCCCAGUGCUACCAUCUCCUCCAGUACUCUCACUAGUGCCACCACCCCGCCUACUGCCCCUAUUGUCACCAUCAUUACUACUAGAUUUUGAAGAAAUUGUUCUAGAAGCCUUACCUUUACAACGGGAAUCAACAUCUCUUUCUCUACCUUUUUCAUUAGUGAAAAGACCUUUAUCCAACCAAUCCAAAUUAUCAGAUGAUAAAAUAGGCUCCUCUCCUUCUCAUAUCCACUCAUUUAAUAUAUCAUCAUCAUUAAAGAUAUGAUUCAGAUCAAUUGGAUUGUAUAAAUCUUCAUUGCUUCGCUCUUGCAUCAAAUUCUUAACUCAAAGUCGCAUAUUGUAGUGCACAUAAACUAACUUAUGCAACUUUUUCAUUGCCAAACGGUUGCAUAACUUUGUGUGAAUCAAUGACCAUGUGCUCCAAUUUCUUUCACAACCUGAUGAAGAACAAGUUUGGCUUAAAAUUUUAACAGCAAUCUUUUGUAGAUGUGGACCUUCGUCGCCAUAGUUGUUCCACCAUUCAGCUAUAAUAAAGAAAAUGCAUACUUAUUAAUCACUAUGAUAUAUUUAACAAAAAAUGAUGAUAAUUUCUUAUUUGUAAUAGACGUAAAUGUAUUGAGUACCUAGAAGAGAUUGAUUUAUUGCUUUCUUUGUAAGUGCACUUCCAAAUUCUCCUUGGCCAUCAACAAAUAAUUUCACCUACAUCAUUAACAUUUUUUUUUUAUUAAUGCACAUUACAUAUACAAAAUGCAUUAUAUAAAGGUCACAAACUAUUAUUAUACCUUGUUAAUAACUUUUGCUUGUCUAUCCAAAUCUGGCUCUAAUCUCUUGAUAACCUCCUUGAAUCCAACUUUAAUUUUUGGAUGGUUGGAAAAAUGCUUUGAAUAAUGGAACAUUGGAUUUAAAAAAUAUGCUAUCGUAAGUUAAAUAAUGAUCAGUUUAUAAUAAUUUAUACUUGAAAAAAAAAAAAUAUGUAAGGAAUUUUUUUAUUACCUGUAGCAUGCAAAUGUCUAUGCAAUUGACCGUCCCACCUUCUAUCAAUGACUUCCCAAUACUUUUCCCAUUGCUUGACCGAUGCCUUGAUAGCCAAUUUAGCUCUAUCCAUUGCUUCAUAAAUGAUUGAUAGUAUGGGCUUUUUAUCUUGAUCAACCAAUUUCAAUACUUUGAAGAAAGGUUCCAUGAUGGUUUAAACUCCCCCUGCCUUCUUCCAAAAUCGAUCAGUUAAGAUAAGGUUGGAUACCUUAUUUCUUAGACUUUUUUUGCUCCUAUCUUUAUUGAAUUCACACCACUCAUUUGUUGUACACAUUCUCUUCAAAUCAGCCUCAUAACGUAUAAGACUCUCAAGAGAAAUGAGUUCGAUGGCAAAACGGGUUAUUCCUGGCCUUAACUGAUCUCUAUUCUUGGUGAACACUUUCAUCAAAUUCACUACUUUCAAGCUAUUAUAAAUAAAUCCUGUGAUCAUCUUAGCUUGAUUUAAUGUCUCAUUAAUCUGCUUCAUGCUUCCAAUAUCUUCAAGCAUUAAAUCAAUAUAGUGGGUUGCACAAGGAGACCAAAACAAAUGUUUCCGCUUCUCCAUCAACAACAUACUGGCUGCUUUAAAACUUGCCUCAUUAUCAGUGACUACUUGAACAACAUUUUUCUCCCCAACCUCCUCUACAACUUUAUCCAUAAGGGAAAAGAUGUAGUCUGCUGUCUUAAGUAUGUUGGUAGUGUCAACUGAAGAAUGAUAUAUCAUACUUCUAUCACAAUAAAUCAUGAAAUUGAUGAUAGGCUUUCUAGUCCUAGAACUCCAACCAUCACACAUGAUUGUGCACCCAUAUAUAGGCCAUUUAGCCUUCAAUGUUGUUAUGUAUACCUCAAGCUCUUGCACCUCCUCUUCCAAAUCUGUAUUUCCAAUUUGGUAUCCCGUGGGACCCUUGAUGUCUGAACCUACUUCUGCUAUGGUAUCAAUAAUUGAUUGAUAGUAAGGCCCACUGUCAGCUGCAUUAAAAGGUAUUGCAUUAAAGAGAAAGAAUUUAGAAAUAGCUUUACCCACUUUCUUCACGCCUUCAGUAGAAAACAAGCUUUUUAUUGAUUUAUGCUUUGAUGGGAACAUGUAGGGAUCAAUUCCUUUUAGAGGUAUGCUAGCUCCUUCUCUUACACUGAAGCUACGUGUCAGUCCGCGCUUAAUCCUAGCAUUAGAAGGUUGUGAGGAACUACCACCCUUUUGAUGCUCUUGUCCACCUUCUUCAAAAAUUCCACGACUUUCUUUCAUUGCUUGCUUCAUUUGUCUUCUUUCAAAAUCAGCCAUAGCAACUUCCUCAAUUUCAUCAUCAAAAUCACCUUCAUCAAUUUCAUAGAAAUUUUUUCUAUUUAAGGAAUUCAAAAGUUGUUUUUUUUUUCUUAACUGUGUUUUUUCUUUUGAAGUGUUAGACAUAUGUUGUCUAACACUAUGUGACACUUCUAUCGGUACACGUGGACAUCCUUCCACUUGUCCAGAUAUAUGUACGAUGUGUUGCUUUAAUCUUGUUAUACUGCCAUGUAUAACUUUCCCACAAUAUUUACACUUUGUGAUUCUUCUACUACCACCAACAGGUUCUGCAUGCUCCCAACCAAUAUCAUGUUUUGAAGCCAUUUUGAAAUUUUAACCUAAUCAUGUAUAAAAGGAAAACAAUUUACUUUUGAAAUUAAAUAUAUAUAAACACAUUUAUAUAAGAAUUAUAAUAUUCAAUUUUCCACUCACUUAUAUGUUUCAUAUUAUUACCAUAUAAAAAUAAAUUGUACUAAAAAAGCAAUAAACACGAUCUCACCUAAGUUCAUCAUCUUUUGUUUUCUACUUAUUUAUAUGUUUUUUUUAUUAAAAUAAAUAAUAGUUAAAUAAAUGAAUAUUUUUAUAAAAAAAAUUCUUUUAAAAAAGUUUGUUUUGAUAAUUAUUGAUUUCCUAUUGUAAUUUAAUUGUAGAAUAUUAUAAAAAAAAAUCUACAUGAUAUAAUGAAGUAAGAUUGAUUCAAAUAUAAAUGUAAUUGACCAUGUAAAUGCAUAUCCUUCAUUUUGUAUUAUUAAAUCAUUUAUGAUUAUUUGAAAAAAAAAUUCAAUAAUUAUUAAUUUUCUAUAGUAAUUCAAUUUUGCAAUAUAGUAUUAAUGUAAUUGAGUAAUAGAGAAAUUUUUUGUCACUAAUAUAAUGUAAAUUUAUUUAUACUAAUAGAAAAUUGAGUGAUAAUUUUAAAGUAUUCAAUACAAUUUCUUGUGCAUUAUAUUUUGUACCAUUAUACAAAAUUUUAUAUAAUCCUUAUACUUGAAGAGUAACUCAAUUUAUUAAAACCUAAUUAGUUAAAAAUGAUGAAAAUAAUCCUUAUAUUUGAAGAGUAAUUCAUUUUUAUAUAUAUAAAUACCCUUGAUUAUUUUAAGUAUUUACAUGAAUGCUUUAAAAGAAAUAAUUAUUUUUAUAAGGAAAAAAUGAGAGUGUUUUUUUAAAAUGAUGCCAAAAAAAUAAUGAAGGGUUAGAUUUACAAAAUUGGGUUUUCAAUAACCUUUUUAAUUAAAUAAGUCAUUUACUAAUGCUAUAUUUGGUUUAUGAAUAUUAGAGGAAAAAAAAAGAAAACUAAACAAAUUUAAGGUUAAUAAAUUAUUUUUUUAUGGCUCUUUUAAUUCAUUUUAUUUAUUUAUUUUUCUAUAUAAAUAUUAUAUAAUUUAAAUAUAUAUAAAUGUUUAGCUAAUUUUUAAUUGUAGUUGAUUUUCUUUUAUAUUUUUUAUGAUAAAAAUAGUGAAAAAAAAUAAAUUAAUUUUCUUAAUAAUUUUUUGGGAAUCAAAUAUAACCUAAACGAAGGUUUAUUAUCUAUUACAAAAGAGUACUUAUAAUUUUUUACUUAUAUAUGAUAUUAUAAUAAAAUCAUAGGUUUAUUUUAUUUUAUUUUUAUAAAAAAAAAAAUACUAUUUUAGUAUAUGUUAGAAACAUAAAAAUAUUAACAUCUUCAUCAUUUUUUGGGUUAAAAAUUAAUAAUAAAUAUUUAAAGUAAUAAUUUUUCAUAAUAUUUUAUUUAAAUUGAAUAAUUAAUAAAGUUUAACUUUUUAAAAAUGAGUCAAAAUUUUCAUUCCAUGUACUCAUUUAGAAUUGAAUUAUGAACAUAAUAUUAUAAAAUGUUUUGAUUUUAUAUGUAAUUAAUUAGAUUGGUUUUUUGAAUUCAAAUUAUUUUUAAAAAUAAAAAAAUUCAUGAAAUAAUUUAAAAUUAUUAAUUAUGUCUUAUUUAGUUUAUAAGACAUAUAGCAACAAUAUUUGAAAAGGAAUAACAGAUUAUAUAUAACAACAAUAUAUAUUAAACCAUAUACAGAGAGUAUAUAUAUUAAUUUGAAAAGGAAUAACAGAUUAUAUAUAGCAACAAUAUUAAACAAUAUUUGAAAAUGAAUUCCUUCAUUAAUUUAUUACCCGCCAGUUUGAAAGUUGAAACCCUUACCUUUUCUGACUCUGUCUUCUUCUUCUUCCCCAGCACAGCAACACCACAAAGAUGCAACCCUCUGUCUUCUUCCCCAACACCACGAAGACGCAGCCUUGCUAUCUUCUUCCCCAACACACCACGAAGACCACGAUUUGCAAUCUCUCAGACUAUCGGACCACGACCUGCUACCUUCCCACCAUGCACCGCACCAAAGACGAAGAUUCUACACUUCGACAAUGGUGAAUUUAGGGUUAGGUAAGUUAUUCUUCAACUGAGGCUCUUUUUAAAGGCUUUUGAAAGGGUCAUGGGUUUGUUUCAAAUUUUCACGGGUUUGUUUAAAAUUUUCAUAGGUUUUCUUUUGUAGAGGAAUCUCUGAUUUCUCUGAAAAAUCAAGACUUAUUGUGAUGGGGCUUUUUUGCAAAGAAUUUGUUGAAUUUUUUUCUCCGAGUUGACCGAGUUAACUCAGAAUAUCGGUCGACUCAUCCGAGUCCAACCGAUUCAGGCUGAGUCUAGGUAUCUAGUAUCGGACUCGUCGUGGUCAACUUCGAGAUACAAUUCGACCAAGUCGUACGUGACUAGGCUAAUUUUUUGAACCCUGACCGAUGCAAGGCAUGGCUACUUAUGGAUGGUACAUAAAACACCUGGGAGUGAUAUAGGGAAUUGUCAACAAGAAGUCACAAACUGUGGGAGCUAUUGGCUGAGAGCAUACAGGAGCAAGGCAUGAAUCCUUUGGAAAUUGUGGGCACCCAAUGCCAAUUGAGUAUCAUGCCUGCUGCAACUAUAGUUGCUUCCCUGGUUAUUGUAGUUUCCCGUCUUACCAUCAUAUGGCACCACCAAUGCCAUUUCAUUGGCAUGGGUGCCUUCCCAUGUACUCCGAAGCCUCCAAUGCUCUUAUCUCCACUGUCAAACCUACUUCAUAUCACCACCCUUCCCCCGAACCCCUCAUACCCAUUCCUCUCGCUACCCAUAGUUCCCCCUCACGCCCUUUCUCCUAACCCAUCAUACUUUCACCUAGAUCCUCAUUUUUCCUUCACCCCAUGCAUGCUCUUCAGUUAAUGACCAUCAAUCAAUCAAAAUGACCUCCAAGGUGACCUCACCCAUUCACGUACCCUCAUUCUACAUGAUCAAUAAUAAAGGCGGUGUUUCACCUCGGCAUCCGUAUUGUAGCAUCAAUAAUGUCUGAAUUCUUUAGCUCACUAUUCGCGCACACCGGCAAAUAUGCUGCAUUUCGAAACUUGAAGAUGAAUUGUUAGUUAAGAUGAGCAUGCUUCUUGCGUCUGAGAAGGAAACUGGUCUAUUUUCUGACACCGUAACCGGUCACUUGGGCGUCAUCAGUCAAGCAAUGAUCAGCUACAUCACCCACCUGGGCAUUCCCGAUCUCUCUUAUGGAAUGUAUCUCACUCAUGGUCUACAGCUAAGUAGCUCCAAUCAAUAGCAAACUACUUGGUCCCACCUCGUAGAAAUGACAGGGGCCUCCAGAUUCAUAGUUCAGUCUUCCGACAUUUCUCAUGAGGUGUUUCAUUUUAUCUUGCUUCAAGAAAGGAUGAUGGAAGAAUCAAAGAAGCGAGUUGUUGAAGGAGAUCAAUCAGAUGGAAAUGGCAGCAAGGGCAGUAGGUUCGUAACCUUUGACAGUUCUGAUAUCGUGAAGAGCGUUUUGGCCAAUGGAAGUCCACAUUAUGUUUAUGGGGCUAGUGUUCUUGUGAAACCUUACAGAGAAAAGCCAAGAAACCUCAGAUUGUCAUGACCAGAGCAGGCAGCACCAGUGGAUUGCAUUAUGACAUGAAAAUCUGUGCACAAGCUUCAAAUCUGCUUACGUUUGCUGAAGGAUUUGGAACCCGGUUGAAAGGUAGUUGUUCCAACAUGUGAACUUCAAGGCGAAGUAAGACGCAUGCAUGGCCACCCUAGUAGCCACAUGGCUUUCUUUCACUCCAUCUUUGCUUUUUAAAAAUAAUUCCCUACACUCCCAUUCUUUAAAUGAUUUUCCAGAUUCUAGGUUUUUUUUUUUUAAUAAUCUCAACACUAUAAUUUUUCAUCCUCUGAAUUUUUUUAAAUUCCAAAAAAUCCUUCCAUUUUUAAUAAGAUUUGCUGCCAUUUUCUUCGACAAGCAAUUUUCACAUUUUCUUGAUUUUUUUAAAAUGUUUUAAAAUAAACAUAAAUCUAAUUUUGUAAUUCCAAGUGAUGGAAUUUACAGAAUUGGUUCAUGCAGAAAUAAAUCAGGUUUGGUGGGGCCCAACAUGCAUGAUUUUUCUUAUUGAUUGAUUGAUUGAUUGUCAUGCUUGAUUGAUUCGCUUUGUGAUGUACAUGCGAAUGUUCUAUGUUUGUUCAUUAACCUUUGUCCUUCAUGAAGCAGUCAACUCAUUGCUCAAGUACAUUCCUUGUUUCUCUUGUUCAUUUGAUUAUUUUUAGAUCGAUGUUCUUCAGAUAUCCAUGUUUAAUUAAUCAAUUAUCACACGUAUUUCAUCUUAUUUAGUAGAGACCCAUUUUAGGGGCUUAGAGGGGUGCUACGGUCUGUACCAUACCUUCGCAAUAAGUAACCUGACCCCAGAGUCCAGAUUUAGUUUUUUCACAUACCACUUUUUCCAAAUAAGGAGUCACACUUAGGGUUUUCUUUCUUAUUUUAUUUUCCUUUUAAAAAUAAAACAAAAAUAAAUGGCGACUCCAAGUCAUUUUCUAAAAAAAAAAUCAUUUUUAAAUAAAAAUCUAGUUGCACCAUUGAGUGGAAGCACAUGAACAAAAAUGCAGGGUCCACACCACCACAUGGCAACACAGGAACAAAUUCAUAAACAACCAACAACCAUGAACCAACAGUAAGUUAUCAUUUUUUGAAUAGAGAAGAACUACUAAAAUGUGCAGGAAAUAUUUUAAAAAGGAAAAAUCCAUUAACCUUCGUUAAGACUUGAGCUCUAUAAUUUUCUUUUUAAAAAGGAAAAAAUCCAUGAAUAAAAGUUGUAACAUUAUGAAGGUUUUUUUUUCAUAAUAAAAUUAUUUUUCGGUGAUAAUUUUUUAAAGUGUGCAAAAAGAUACAAAACUUUAAUGUUAUGUUUGGUAUUUGAAAAUUUUGAGAGAAAAUGUUGGGAAAAAAAAUAGAAAGUAAAAUUUGAAGGAAAUCAAAGCCCCACUCAAAUGGGCUUGAACCCCAUGGGCGCACAAGACUCUCCCAUACCUCUUCACAAGCACAUUAAGCCAUAGAAAGUGGACUAAUUAAUAAACCUACUAAAGGUGUUUCUUUUUCCUAUGUGGGACAAGCAAAAAAAACAUUUUUCACAUUUAAACUCUUCCUACAUAUAUCACCCUGGAAGGAUCUAGAUCAAAGGGAUAAGUCCCUAAAGCUUGAUCAAGUUUAUGAUGUUCAAGAAUUGAUGAGCAUGAUAUAUAUCAACAUGAUAUUGCAGAAGACAAUAGAGCUUCUGAAAUAUUUCAGGUUCAAUAGUAGGAAAUCUUUUCAGCUGUCACUUACUGUAAUCCUAUGCUCUCAAUAUUCAAUUGUUGAACAAGAAAGAGGCAUCUUGAAAAAAAAAAUUUGCUUUCACACUACUCAAUUACGGGAGAAUGUUCAAUUAUGGAAGAAAAUAAUAUUCACUGGACUUUUUCAACUCACUCAACAUGCAGAGAAAACCAGUUGGGUGACCAAUUAUUCACAUGAUAACUUACAUACAUAGUCUCUCUACGUCUACUUGUUACUCAUCAGCCAAGCUUAUAGUAAUAUAAGCUUGGAUUCAUCUCUCUAUACCACUGAUGCCAACUCUACAUGGACUUCGCCUUCUGGUGAUUUUGCAUUUGGAUUCCGACCCUCUCCAAGUGAAAAGGAUCUAUUCCUUCUUGCUAUCUGGACUGCAAAUGGAAGUUAACCGGUGCCAAGAGGAUCAAAAGUUGAGCUUACCACCAAUGGACAGCUUGUUCUCCUUGGAGGCCAAGAGAUAUGGAAGACAAAGACUGGUAAUAUGAGCAGCGAAGCAGUGCAUGGUGCCAUGCUUGGAGAUGGAAAUUGAAUACCAGUAUAUGGAGAGCUUCAACCACCCAACUAAUACCAUAUUGCCAACCCAGGGAUUGGGUGUUGGAACCUACUGUGCAGUUGCUAUUUUUGAGGACCUGAGGUUUGUAAAUGGAACUGGAAGCUGUUGGAGGAUAAGACUACCUCUUUCAAAUGGGAGGUUGGAUCAAACUGCUGUUGCCAGAAGUGCCCUAAUCAAGAUAUUGAAGUCCAGUGAACUAACUUCAGGCAGAGGCAAGCAAAAUAAAGCAAUUCUAAUCCUCUAAGUCCUGGGCCCCUCUGUUCUUCUUCACUUCUUCGUUGCAAUUCUCUAGUUUUCUACUGCUUGAACCUCAAAAAUCUGCAGCUUUAUCACAGAAUCGUGAGUACAAGCGAUGGUAGAAGCCUUUGGCACUGUCUAUAAAGGGAUAUUACCAUCAGGUUCUGGAAAUUCUGUUGCUGAAAGAAGUUGGAGAAGGUGGUGAGAGAAGGUGAGAAAGAAUUCAAAGCAGAAGUGAAUGUGAUAGGCCAAACUCACCAUAAGAAUCUACGACACUUGCUGGGUUACUGCUGUGAGGGUGAACACUGACUUCUGGUGUAUGAGUUUAUGCACAAUUGCUCUUUAUCAAGCUUCCUUUUUGGAGGUGCCCGAUGACUUGUGUACCUACAUGAAGAAUGCAGUAAACAACUAGACUUGAACACUUCAGGCAUCAGAGGGACUGUGGGGGUAUAUUCAGACCACUCGGGCAGCCUCUAUCUCUUAUAAUAACACAUUAUGAAGCAUCAGCUCAACGCCAGUGUUCAAUCUGCAAAGCAAGGGAUUCAUCAAUGUUUCCUUCAAACUAAAUAAUAAGGAACAGAAAUGGAUCAUUCUGCAUUUUCAGUUGUGUUUGUUAUAGCAUUUAUACAAGAACUUUUGGGGUUUCUAUGUAUGACUUCAUUCCUAUUUUGUCAGUGAAUGUGGUGACGGUGUUACAUUAUAAAUCAUAGUGAAACGGUGGAAUUUGAUCAUUUAGCCAACUUCAUCCAAAACCGUUUGACAUUUGAGGGGAUCAUUAACUUUGCCAUGGGCCAAGCAGCAAUUUCUUAAGAAGCUGGGUAACAAAGAGUACCAUAAUUUGGACUAGUUUCAAUGGAAACUCCCCUGUUUUUGUGCAUGAUAUCUUCAGCUUCAGCUUUUCCUUUGCUUUUGACUAGCCUGAAACUGAUCCAAAUCUCUUCAAUCGAUUAAACGUAUAAAUGAAUCCUAUUCAUUGUUUGAAGUAACAACCAAAUUCUGGAAGACUGGGAAAGUAUGACACUGGAGAGAAAACAAAAUGACAAGACCAUAAAUUCUGGAAGAGGGCUUUGCUUUCUAACCAUUACCAUAAUUUUACAGCUCAACCCGGAUGAAUAAAUUAUAUUUCAGAAUGUUCAGAAGAUAAUUCUAAAGAGAUGGACCUUCUACUCACAGUUUCUUGUUCUUCUUGAACAGAGCAAUGAACAUCAAUAGUUCAGCACCCAGGAAUCUCCCCUUCCUCCAAUUCCUUCACUGGAAAAACUCUACCAAAAUCAGAACAAUCUAUCCUCUUCCCUGAAGGAAGAGUCACCUUCCCAAUCAAGAAAGCCUUGCUCAAAAUCAAAAUACAUCAAGAGCUGCUAUUUUCUUCUAUUUCCUCUUCCUUGAAUAGAAUACCUUUGGACUUAGGCGAUCAAUGGUAACAGUCUAACACACUCCUUAAGCUCUGAUUGAGGUUGACUGGGAUUGGCAUCUUUAAUGACUUUGAAAUCAUAGCUCUGUGAAGGGAGACAAACAUGAAUCACAGGAUCAUCAACAAGUCAACAACUAUCAAUCAGCAAGGAAAAGGAAAUACCUUUGGAUAUUUACCAAUGAAAAAUUUGAGAGUCCAGCUGCUCCGCACAGAAAGGCUUGAGCUUAUUCCAUGGCCCAGGCUUUAGACGGUUCUUAAUUACAGAUAAGAGGGCUGAAUUUUCUUUUAUUCUGCAAUAAGAGUAGAAGCAUCAAUGAAACACUAAAAGUAUAUAUGUAGAAGCCCUUCUAAAUCACCUAAGAGACCCCACAAGCAGAUUUGAAGAGUACAUCAAUGGAAAGUUCCUGAAUCCAUUGUCUAGCUAAUUAUCUUUCAAUUUCUAAGGCUUGAUUUUCCAUUUGUAGUAGAAAAUUUUUCUUAUUACAAUGCCACAAAAUUGGUUGAUCUAAUUAAAACAAAAACGAGGUUCUUGACAGAAAAUGAUUAGGAAGGCAUGCAUGUAACAAAUACAAAUGAUAUAUGAUAUAAGAUUUUCACGGAUUAAACAAAAAUACAUGGCAAAAUAGAAGCAGGAGGAUAAGGUCACAGACAGGACAAUAUUAAAAGAAGCAACUAUUUUUCUGACCUGAAAAUCGAGGCAUUCAGAACAAUAUACAUUUGUAAGUAGUCCAUGGAAACCAAGGAACAUAUGCAGAUGUUGUAUUCUAUUGCAUAAGGCAAACACUCAAUACUCAGUAGCAUAACCAAGGCCAGAAAGCCAUAUAUCCCUUUUUGUUUUGCUUUUUUACCUAUUCUCAUCUCUUAUGACCAGAAGUGCCAAAGAUGUUAUAACCUCACCAAAUUAGUAAGAAACCAGCCCAUUCAGCAGGUGGAGGAGCCAGCUUGCCCUCAAUCUUCUUUGAGUCACCAAACAGGUGGACAUUAUUGCCUCCAACAGGGGGUUUGGAAAUAUUAGAGCUGGCAGCAGGGGUGGCUGUAAAACUCUCUGUUCCAAAAACCCCAAGUUUCAGGGCCAGAAGUUGCUUCUGUGGCUGGUUUGUUGUGAUGGCCAUUUCUGGUCCUAACAGACUUGCUAUUGUUUUCUGGGUACCUCAGAGAAAGCUUGCCAUGGAUUAGAGCCUGGGCCAGGGGGACUGUUAACCUUGCCAUGGGCGAAGCAGCAAUUUCUUAAGAAGCUGGGUGACAAAGAGUACCAUAAUUUGGACUAGUUUCAAUGGAAAUUCCUCUGUUCAUGAUAUCUUCAGCUUCAGCUUUUCCUUUUGCUUUUGGCAUGGCUGAAACUGAUCCUGGAAUCAAAAAUCACAGACACAAAUAAAUAUUUAACAGAAAAGGAUCCAAAUCUCUUCAAUUGAUUAAUGUAUAAAUGAAUUAAUAAAAAAAAUUUAGAGACAAUUGAAGGGAGAUGAACCUUAUGCCUCUGAGUUUCUUAUUCAUAUUGAACAGAGUAAUGAGCAUCAAUUGUUCAGCACCCAGGAAUCUCCCUUCCUCCACAGCAAACACACCCCACACCCUCCCAAUAUCUGAACAAUCUAUCCUUUCUUCAGAUUCCACUUCCUUGGAAAAGUCAAAACAAGAAGACAACAUCAUCAAAAUUGAGACAGAAAUAAGUGCAUCAACUAUCUCAAAAAGAGAUGUAUGCCUAUUGCUCACCUUCUGAAGAGGUCCACUUGGUUAGCACACACAAUAGACCAAUUUUCCUUUUUUUACAUGGACUCCCAAUCAGUUCAAACAUCUAAAAAAUUUGACUAAUUCAGUAUCAUAAAAUGCUUCACAUAAAUUCUAAAUGAUCUCAUAUCUAAAAAUUCAUUGGCCUAAAAUUAUUGUUGUUUACCUUACAUGUUUUCCAUAGUCAUUGUUGAACUUUGUUUGUCAUAAGAAAUCUUCUAUGCCCAUCCUAUUUACUUAUUACAAAACAUUGAAAGGGAAAAAAAAAAACACCGAAAAUGAUGAUUAGCUUUGUCUGAUAAGAAAGGAAAGAGUAAAAAAUAAAAAUAAAAUUUGAAUUGAAUAACUUUUUAAAAUUCUUAAUUGUAAAACUAUUUUGGUUCUCAAAAAAUGAAAGGAAAAAGUUGUAAAUUUUUUCUCUUGUUUGAUUGUUUAGGGAAAAAUUGAUGGAAAAACCUGAAUCUAUGAGGAAUUUAUUUAACACUUUUGAGGAAUCAAAAAUGUUUUAGAUGUUAUCAAAUCCAUAAUUUAAAAUUAUUUAAUAUUUACUUCCAUGUAAAUGAGUUUGAUCAAACAAAUGAAAUUGUGAAUAAAAUCAUUUUAAAAAGAAUUAAAUAAAAUAUUGAAUCAUAAUAUGCAAUUAUAAAUCUUGUAAUUUGGCAUAUUGAAGCAAAAAAAAAAAAAAAACAAAGCAAUUUAAAUUACUUACUAAUAAAGCAGCUAACUAGAAUUUGUACUUGAGUUUGCUCUAUGCCCUGUAUAUAAGAAAUAAACAGAGAAUAUGAAAAAAAUAAAAAUAAAUAAAAUCCAUGUUUUUAAUUUUUUUUUUAUAGUUAUAAAUGGUUCAUUUGGUAAACAGAGCAUGAAAAUGUGAGUACCAUUAGAAUAAGACAAUCCUCCUCUGCUUCUCUUCAAUAUUUGUUUCAGGUUUGAAGCUUCAAGAAAAAGAAAAUCUUAAAUCAAAUCUUAAAUCAAAUAAACAGGACUAGCAAAUGAAUUGGAACAUAAAUAUUUUUCUAAAGAAAAGAAGUUCAUGCACAAAAGAAUUACCUGACUGUAUAUUGGCGGAGUGGCACUUUGAUUAAUAUAGCACACCAUUGAUCACUAUUUUUGGAACGUGAGCUAUAUAACGCCAUUCUUUCCCUUUCUCAAAUUGACAUCGUCUUUCCAGUAAAGGACACCCGUAGAGACACAGAAAAGAGAGGGAGUCUGGAAGUCUCUCUUUUGUCAAGUAUUUGAGCUUACAGCAGUGUAUGAUCUCCAAUGUUUUAAGAGAGAUGAGGUGUUGAAGACCCUAUUUUGUCAAUGAUUGGAGCAUUGGGCAGUCCUUGAUUUCGAUAUGUUUGAGAGAGAUGAGGUGUUGAAGACCCGAGGAGUCUUGCAGUCUCUGUUUUGUCAAGUAUUGGAGCUUAGGGCAAUUGUCGAUAUGCAAUGUUUCAAGAGAGGUGAGAUGUUGAAGACCCACUUCUGUCAAGGAUUGGAGGUUUGGGCAUCCAUCAAUUUGUAAUUCUGUGAGAGAGAUAAGGUGUUGAAGAACUGAUCCUGUCGAGAACUGGAGCUCUGGGCAGUUUAUGAUCUCUAAUUUUAGAAGAGAGGUGAGUUGUUGAAGUCCCCCGCUGUCGAGAGACUUGAGAUUGGGAAGCUCUACAAUUUCAAGAGAAGUUAGAGAAGAGGGCAGCAGACACUCCUUGGGAAAUAAUUCAAUGCCUUCACAUCCACCUUCCAUUCUUAAACGUGUAAGAGAGGUCAACCUUUGCAAACCCCAGUCCACCUGAGGCGUGACUUUGUUACACCUUCGAAAUUGAAGUUCACAUAGGUUGGAAGGCAAACCCUCUCUCUGAAACAACAAUUCUGGACAAUCCCAUAAAUGCAGCUCCUGUAUAGAUGAGUGCGUGUGCGCCAACGACCUGAGCUUGGAGGAACUCGAGAUCCAACAACACUUCAAGUUAAGUGCAAGCAAUUCGAUAGAUUCAAGAUUAGGGCAAUUCAGUAGAUGCAAGAAACAUAAAGAUGUGGGAUCUCCAUUUGAAAUAAAAAUGGAGAGCUUCUCAAGCCCCUUAAGACCAUGGAUUGUGAAAUAAGUCAACUUGGGGAAGAUGCUUAAUGAGAAGGAUAACGAGAGAGAAUCAUCGAUAACACCACCAUUGAUGCUUAGGCUUUCAAGGACUGGAAGAUGGCAUCUGAACAACUCAGGUAGGAGAAACUCUAAUUCCAAACACUCAGAGAUUGAUAGUAAUUUCAAUGUAGUGGGUAAACCAACCUUGUGCAGGGAUCUGGAAAAACUACAAUCAUAGAUUUCCAAAUCAUGUAUGUUGGUUUGCAAGAUUUCCUCCUCUAAUAGAGAUUCCACAUGAUCACAUUUUCUGAUUGAGAGCUGGUGUGGUGCCAUUGGAAGUUGCUUCCACUGAGACACGUCUAAAAUUUCAAUUUCUGAAGUUUGAAGAGCUGUGAAGUCACAAGCUGGCAUUUGCAACUGCAAUUCACCAAAAUCCACCAUCCUCAAUUCACGAAUAGCAGGAACUGUGAGCGAAGCCAUAAGCAGUUGCGGACAUUCAUGAAUUUGAAGUUUCACCAGUGAAAGAAGUCGUUCUGGUAAUUUUCCAGUGAGUUUGGGAUAGUGUCGUAUAGAAAGCUCCCGGAGAUGAGGGAAUUCUCCACAACAUAACCAUUUCUCCCAGUUCGGCAUGUCCCCAAAUGAUAGUGUUUCUAGGGAUUGAAAGGAAGCAUUCCCAUAAAACUCACCACCCACACACUCUACUGCAUUCAUUCCUGAGAUUUGUAGAUAUUUAAGAUGGGUUAGCUGCUCAAGUGGUGGCCAUGUUGAGCAAUUGCCACAACCCCGAAGCUCAAGGGACACGAGUUUCAAGAUUGAAGGAUCUCCAAGCCAAUUUGGAAAUCUUACACCAGGAUAGUUUUUGAUGGAGAGUUGUUUUAAAUUUGGAUGAGGUUGUAACUGGUUGAGUAUAUCAUCAGUUGUAGCAACAUAUUGUGUAAUACCACCAUCUAUAGCCCCUUCCGUUUCCCAAUUCAAGAUUAACUCAUCAAGAUAACUCUUAUCCUUCAUAUUAGCUUGUAAUGCAUCGUUAACACUCACCACAUUCUUCACGUUUGAAAUAUAAAGUGUUUCUCGAAUCUCUAAAAGAUCCCUCAAUUCUCCAAUUCUUAAUCCACUCUUUUGGCCCACAAUAAAAUAAGGCAAUUUUUGUAAACAUUUUAAUCGACUAAUGCCAUGACUUGACAUUUCUUUUAAUGAAUAACACUCAGAAAUAUCAAGAUAACGCAAAUUAAUCAAUUUCCCCAUCCUUGAAGGCAAUUCAAUAAGUUCUGAACAUCCUCUAAAGAUCAACGUUUGUAAAUUGUACAAACAACAUAUUGAUUCAGGUAACUUUUCAAUCCAUGUGUAAGAUAGAUCUAAAUAGUGCAAAUGUUUCAAAUUGCCUAUCAAAUCUGGCAAAUUAGUUAUCUUGUAUUCUUGUAAUGACAACACACGUAAACACCUCAUUUUUUGUAUAUCUUUGAAAACUCUUUUACUCAAUAUAUACCAUGACUCGUAAAAUGAUUGUUUCACAUCUAAUAAUGUCCGAAGAGAUUUAGCUUUAGUAAAAGCCUCAAGCUUGUUAAAUGUAAUAAACCUGUCAAAAUCACUGUGAAAGUAUAAAAAGUGGCGAGUCUUCUCAGAUACUUUUUGUACCUUAUUAUCUUCCACUCGGACACAAAAAUCUCCUCCAGACACAUGUUGAGCCAAUUCAUGGACUAGAUCAUGCAUUACGAAGCAAUAUGAUUUUUCUCCUCUAAUAGAUUUUUGAAAAAAUGAUUUGGCCAAAAGGUCAUUAAAAUAGGACUCACCUAUCUCUUCCAUUCUUCUUCCAUCGUCUUGUUGUGGAUGUAAAAGACCUUCUGCCAUCCAUAAUAAAACCAGCUCCCCUUUGUUGAAUUCGUGGUCCUGGGAAAAAAUUGAACAAUAUGCAAAACAAUGUUUCACAGGUAAAGAAAGAUGAUGGUAGCUCAAUCUCAAAGAAGGAAGAAUUCCAUCAUGACUCUGAAGAUGUCAUAUUUCACUAUUCAAAACGUCCUCCCAUUCCCUUUUUUCGACCUUCGAGUACAGCAGAUGCCCGAGUGAUUUAACAGCCAAAGGCAAUCCUUGGCACUUAUCCACAAUCUGUCUACCUAUGGGUUCAAGCUCAAGGCAUGCGUUAGAGUCUCUAUCUUGAAAUGCAAUCUUUUCAAAUAGGCUCCAACAAUGUUGAGGGCUUAAUUCUUCCAGAGGAUGAGUGCGGACUGCACGCAUAGUUUUUGCAACAGAUUCAUCACGACUGGUCACAACAAUCUUGCUUCCCUCUGCUGCACCCAGGAGCGGAGUUCGUAGUCUAUCCCAACUUUCCCAAUCAAAGGACUCCACAUCCCAGACGUCAUCGAGAACAAGCAGAAAUUUCUUGUUAACAAGGCUCUGUUUGAGUUGGCGUUGAAGCAAAUCCAGAUUGUCAUCGGAAGUAGGUCUAUCGCCGAUUUCCUCGAGAAUUGAUUUGGUGACCUUGAUAAGAAGAAACUCAGUGGAAACACAGACCCAUGCUUUCAAGUGGAAGUGUUCCUUCACUUUGUCAUUGUUGUAGA
rnacentral:lncRNA from 1 species